rnacentral:rRNA from 1 species
UACGGGGGGGGGCAAGCGUUGUUCGGAAUUACUGGGCGUAAAGGGCUCGUAGGCGGCCAACUAAGUCGGAUGUGAAAUCCCCAGGCUUAACCUGGGAACUGCAUCCGAUACUGGAUGGCUUGAAUUCGGGAGAGGGAUGCAGAAUUCCAGGUGUAGCGGUGAAAUGCGCAGAUAUCAGGAAGAACACCCGUGGCUAAGGCGGCUCUCUAGUACGUGACUGACGCUGAGACGCGAAAAGCGUGGGGAGCGAACAGG